CAGAAUGAAAAAAAGUUAAAGCAAGGGCUUGAAGAUUAUAAUUUUUUUCUGUGUGGAAGUUAGGGAGUUGACAUUCUGAGAACAAGAUAAAAUGCAGUUCAAUCUUAAGUCAGAAGAAGAAGAAGAGGGAGGAGGGAGGUGUUCCCAAUGGCAUAAAUCCAACUGAAAGAAGCAAAAGGACAAAAGAUUCAAGCUUGGACUUAUUGGAAAGAGUAAAGGCUAUCUAACCUCCUGGCUUCAAACACUAGACCUGAGGAGAAGUUGUAGAUCUGUACUUAAUAAAGAUGCAAGGUAAGAAAUUGAUGUUGUAGUGUAACAGGAGUAGGUUAUCUUCAUUUAUUUCUCCUGUUUUCUUUUGAUA